GACGAACGCUGGCGGCGUGCUUAACACAUGCAAGUCGAACGGAAAGGCCCUGCUUUUGUGGGGUGCUCGAGUGGCGAACGGGUGAGUAACACGUGAGUAACCUGCCCUUGACUUUGGGAUAACUUCAGGAAACUGGGGCUAAUACCGGAUAGGAGCUCCUGCUGCAUGGUGGGGGUUGGAAAGUUUCGGCGGUUGGGGAUGGACUCGCGGCUUAUCAGCUUGUUGGUGGGGUAGUGGCUUACCAAGGCUUUGACGGGUAGCCGGCCUGAGAGGGUGACCGGCCACAUUGGGACUGAGAUACGGCCCAGACUCCUACGGGAGGCAGCAGUGGGGAAUAUUGCACAAUGGGCGGAAGCCUGAUGCAGCAACGCCGCGUGCGGGAUGACGGCCUUCGGGUUGUAAACCGCUUUCGCCUGUGACGAAGCGUGAGUGACGGUGAUGGGUAAAGAAGCACCGGCUAACUACGUGCCAGCAGCCGCGGUGAUACGUAGGGUGCGAGCGUUGUCCGGAUUUAUUGGGCGUAAAGGGCUCGUAGGUGGUUGAUCGCGUCGGAAGUGUAAUCUUGGGGCUUAACCCUGAGCGUGCUUUCGAUACGGGUUGACUUGAGGAAGGUAGGGGAGAAUGGAAUUCCUGGUGGAGCGGUGGAAUGCGCAGAUAUCAGGAGGAACACCAGUGGCGAAGGCGGUUCUCUGGGCCUUUCCUGACGCUGAGGAGCGAAAGCGUGGGGAGCGAACAGGCUUAGAUACCCUGGUAGUCCACGCUGUAAACGGUGGGUACUAGGUGUGGGGUCCAUUCCACGGGUUCCGUGCCGUAGCUAACGCUUUAAGUACCCCGCCUGGGGAGUACGGCCGCAAGGCUAAAACUCAAAGGAAUUGACGGGGCCCCGCACAAGCGGCGGAGCAUGCGGAUUAAUUCGAUGCAACGCGUAGAACCUUACCUGGGUUUGACAUGGAUCGGGAGUGCUCAGAGAUGGGUGUGCCUCUUUUGGGGUCGGUUCACAGGUGGUGCAUGGCUGUCGUCAGCUCGUGUCGUGAGAUGUUGGGUUAAGUCCCGCAACGAGCGCAACCCUUGUUCACUGUUGCCAGCACGUUAUGGUGGGGACUCAGUGGAGACCGCCGGGGUCAACUCGGAGGAAGGUGGGGAUGACGUCAAGUCAUCAUGCCCCUUAUGUCCAGGGCUUCACGCAUGCUACAAUGGCUGGUACAGAGAGUGGCGAGCCUGUGAGGGUGAGCGAAUCUCGGAAAGCCGGUCUCAGUUCGGAUUGGGGUCUGCAACUCGACCUCAUGAAGUCGGAGUCGCUAGUAAUCGCAGAUCAGCAACGCUGCGGUGAAUACGUUCCCGGG
rnacentral:rRNA from 1 species